CUGCUGCUGCUGCUUGUUUCUGAUCACAGCAAUGGACAUCCCAGCAUUGCUCUGCAGGAUGACAGAACAGUAGUUUCAGUGUAAUGGUUUCAACGAAACGAAACCAGCUUCAGCUGCUUAGCACAAGAGCUCGGUGAUGUAAGUUCCCGCAGUAAUUAGCUUGUUCGUCUCCUCUUCCAGCUUCAUGAGUCAGCUGCACGGAUCAAGAAGGAGUGAAAAAAAAAUCCCACAAAAGACUUCUAUAAAGAUUCACAACGAUUAUUUUGCAAUGACUAGAAGCUACCAGGGAUGCUAUAAUUGUAACACUUUGCAGGGUGUAUAAUAGUGUGACCUUUAUAUAAGGAGCAUUGCACUAUGAUCUUUCCAAGCACAGAGGAGAAACAGUGAACAAAGGACUGCUCAGACUUCUGAGACUUCUCCGUUUCUAACUUAUGAUUACCUCAUCCAUUUACACUAGGAGCAGCCCUCUUCAGAAGAGCAAUCCAAACUUGGCUGUAAUCAAUGGAAAAACAAAACAAAACAUUUUGCGGACUUUGUAACCAGCUAGGUGGACAUUACUGAUAAAGAGGACCGAUGUUGAUGAAGAGGAUGAUGUGUCUUUGCUGCUGGAUGUGCCAACCUCUUUGAGCCUGUCGUCCCCUUCCGUUUGUCUGCAGAAUGAUGAAGAACAAGGAAGGAUUAGAUGGCCCUUCAUCUAACUUGUGGUUAGGCGCUUUUUACAGAAUAUUAUAUGGAUACUUUUAAGCUGUUUUAUGUGCAGUUUUUUAUAUGAGACUUUUUGUAUCUCUAUGUGUACCCUGGCAAGGAAGGAUCUCCUGUCAACAUUUUCUGAGUCCCAGCACUUGGACCUGAGCUUUGGAGUUCCUGCCAACCUUAUGCAAACCAGAACUGUAUGAAUAAAUUGCUACAUAAUAAAUAAAUUACUAUUUUUUUCCA
rnacentral:lncRNA from 1 species